UACGUAGGGACCAAGCGUUGUUCGGAUUUACUGGGCGUAAAGGGCGCGUAGGCGGUCGUGACAAGUCACUUGUGAAAUCUCCGGGCUUAACUCGGAAAGGUCAACUGAUACUGUGCGACUAGAGUGCGGAAGGGGCAACUGGAAUUCUUGGUGUAGCGGUGAAAUGCGUAGAUAUCAAGAGGAACACCUGCGGCGAAGGCGGGUUGCUGGGCCGACACUGACGCUGAGGCGCGAAAGCCAGGGGAGCGAACGGG
rnacentral:rRNA from 1 species